rnacentral:rRNA from 1 species
AUUGAACGCUGGCGGCAGGCCUAACACAUGCAAGUCGAGCGAGCGGCGGACGGGAGAGUAAUGUUUGGGGAUCUGCCCGAUAGAGGGGGAUAACUACUGGAAACGGUGGCUAAUACCGCAUACUACCAUAUGAACCCAUAUGGGAUUAGCUAGUAGGUGGGGUAAAGGCUCACCUAGGCGACGAUCCCUAGCUGGUCUGAGAGGAUGAUCAGCCAAACUGGGACUGGGCAACGGCCCAGACUCCUACGGGAGGCAGCAGUGGGAAAUAUUGCACAAUGGGCGAAAGCCGGCUGCAGCCAGGCGGCGUGUAGGAAGAAGGCCUUGGGGUGGUAAGGUACUUUCAGCGGGGAGGCGUUACCCGCAGAAGAAGCACCGGCUAACUCCGUGCCAGCAGCCGCGGUAAUAC